rnacentral:rRNA from 1 species
AUUGGACGCUGGCGGCAGGCCUAACACAUGCAAGUCGAGCGGGGUUUUCGGACCUAGCGGCGGACGGGUGAGUAAUGCGUAGGAAGCUACCCGAUAGAGGGGGAUACCAGUUGGAAACGACUGUUAAUACCGCAUAAUGUCUACGGACCAAAGUGUGGGACCUUCGGGCCACAUGCUAUCGGAUGCGCCUACGUGGGAUUAGCUAGUUGGUGGGGUAAUGGCUCACCAAGGCGACGAUCCCUAGCUGGUUUGAGAGGAUGAUCAGCCACACUGGAACUGAGACACGGUCCAGACUCCUACGGGAGGCAGCAGUGGGGAAUAUUGGACAAUGGGCGCAAGCCUGAUCCAGCCAUGCCGCGUGUGUGAAGAAGGCCUUCGGGUUGUAAAGCACUUUCAGUAGGGAGGAAGGGUGUUGUGUUAAUAGCACAGCAUUUUGACGUUACCUACAGAAGAAGCACCGGCUAACUCUGUGCCAGCCGCCGCAGUAACAC